rnacentral:lncRNA from 10 species
CCGUGAUCCCAGCAGGGCCCAGAGCCUGCCACGGGCCUCAAAGAGGAGAGCUGCAGAGAUUGAGCAGAUAUUCUAGGCACAGGGAAUGAGGUAAAUUAUUUGUAGUACUUUGUAACUUUUCUGUUGAAGAAGUCUGUCCUGAGAAAAGAGUUUUUCUCCCUUAAAUUUGACCCUUUCUUAGAAGACAGCCCUAAGAAACUGAGUCCUAUGGCUAAUGAGACUAACAGCAUUUGUGAUGCACACAGCCUUGCUCUGGAAGUCUGUCUAAAGCAAAGCCAGUGGAAUUUGAUGUCUUAGCCCUAAUUGUUCCUGUGGGGGACCAUUCCUGACCUGUUGAGGGCCAUGAGCUCAUCUCUGCUCAUUGUGAUGCCCCGACAAGGACAAGUCUGCAGGACACCCAGGAGGACCCGAUGCUGUGGUUAAAGCCUCGUAAAGGGAGAGCCUGGAAUAGAAAAGCAAGUAGGAGGGGCUCCCAGUGAAAAGUCUGGAGAUGGGGAAAAUCACGGUUGGGUUUGAAGGGAUCAUAAUCCAGAUGACUGGGGAGGCUCAGGAACAGAAGGAGCUCGAUAGAGCUGAGGCCGGCAAUACCUGGAGGGCCUUUUGAAAGAAAAAUAUCAACUUGGUACAGACUUGCACUCCAUGGACAAAUCCGUCUCUGAUCUUUUCAAGAAAUUUGAGAAACAGAAGGUGACUAAAGGCCGUGGAGAGCUUGAAGAAUCACUGAGGCUGUGUGUUGAGGAUUACAGAGCGAGAAUCAGAAAGGCAGGCUGGAGAAGAGGGAAGGCCCACAUGGAGGCCAUGGCUUUUCAGGCCAGUCUGAUGGAGCAGAUGUAGAUCCAUUCACUGAGGAAGGCCGUGGAGCAGGAGACUAAAGAAAACAAUG